UGCCACAUGCCCCACACAUUAACCACACACAGCCUUAUCGCUUUAUCCCUUCGUCCUCUUCCUACUUUUUCCCCAAUUCACUCCACCGAAUCUCUCCAGUCGCAUGGACCACCGCUCUAAGCCAAGCCAUGGUAGCCACAAGAAGGAAUGUUAGCUUCAGUUUUAGCGCCGCCGCUGCAGGUGCAAGGCUUGCCCGCGGGGCAUGCCGAUGCUGCGACUAACCUGUCGCAUCCGGCGAGGCGACCAUGCGGGCUGCGCUGCGGGGCAUCCCGAUGUUGCGGCCAACCCGUCGUAUCCGGCGACGGCGACCACGCGAGUUGCGAUGCAGCGGGGGCAAAUUGCUGCAUCCUAGUAUGGCAGUGCUGGAACCGGCGUCCAGUUUUGCUACAACCGGCAAAGAGAAUACUGCGGCCGUGGCGUGCUGCGUCCGGCAGCACCAGAUGCUGGGACCGGCUAUGAGGAAUGCUACAUCCAUGGUUUGGAGAUGCUGGAACCGACGACUCACGGUGAUUCAAUCAGCCGACCGACGGCGGAGGCGGCGUGGAUCGUUCAUCCUUGCUCAUACUGUGCAAGUCAAGGUGCGCCAGCAGCCUUGCAACUAGCACGCUGUUCGGCAUCUACUUCCAACCGAGUUUUCUUCAUGCGACGAUCGUCCCAUGCAAUGUGAGGUUGAAAUUCAAUAAGCUGACCGGAGACACUGUGACCUUUGAGGCUCCGGGGGACCCUACACUAUGGAGGUCGAGAAAGGACGCAAUAUGUCGCAGAUUGGAGGAGAUGGAUGGGCCCGUUUCCUCGCCCACAUGGGUAUUACUGGGGGUGAGUUGAUUAGCUUCUCCUUUAGAGCAGAAAGACCCAAGCUGGCUGUCAUUUAUGUCAACACGGAGGAAGAUGAUGAGGACCCACUUGAUGAAGCCAUCUAUGCUCAAAGAAUGAGGCUGAGCGAGGAGGAGGUGUGCAACCUUUGGGACAUAAUUCUGCCCACGUGCUAACUUUGUCGGGGUGCCAUUUGUGACCCGCCUGACAAGUACCAUGGUUGAUCGGCUUGUCAUGAAAUUGCCAAAGAGCCUAUCUGUGAGUUGUGGUAUCGAGCCUAAUGAAGAAGGCUCAGCUGGAAUAUGCCUUACUGCAAGGGGCCCGUCACCACCUGUGCGUACGGUGUGGACACGGGCGGUCGCACACACUUAAGCUCAGUUGGGUGGAAGAGCUUCCUUGUUGGCAAGAAUCUUCGUGUUGGACAGGCCAUCCUAAUUAUUAUCAAGAAUACCCACCGCCAAGGCUUGAGGAUGAUGGUCGUCGUCGAUAUCAUCUAGAACUAUAUAUGUGUGUGGUUGUAUGACUAUCUAGUAUUGCUUAUCAUAUACUCCCUCUGUUCGGAAUUACUUGUCGCAGAAAUAGAUGUAUCUAGACGUAUUUUAAUUCUAGAUACAUCCAUUUUCGCGACAAAUAAUUCCGAACAGAGGGAGUAUGCUACUGUAUGAACCAUAUAUGUGUGUGAGGAUGCAUGUUGACUAUAUAUGAGUACCUAUAAUGCUUAAUGAUA